GCGUCAUUAGCUGUAGCUUCCACGCUAGAGAUCUGAGUACAGCAGCACUCAGCACCUUCCACACAGAGGGCAGAGUUACCAUCAGUCUUGGAAUUCUACGAUUCAACAGAUCCCUGAAUCUGAUCACCCACCCCACUUCCAACCUUUGUUUUAAAAAUAUCCAAUCAAAGGAUCAAUCUCACUGAACUGGAUUAACAAUAUCAUAAAAUUAAAAAAUGGAGUCUACCAAGGACCCCAAGGUUAAACUGUA